rnacentral:rRNA from 1 species
AACGAACGCUGGCGGCAUGCCUAACACAUGCAAGUCGAACGAGACCUUCGGGUCUAGUGGCGCACGGGUGCGUAACGCGUGGGAACCUGCCUUUAGGUUCGGAAUAACUCAGAGAAAUUUGAGCUAAUACCGGAUGAUGUCUUCGGACCAAAGAUUUAUCGCCUUUAGAUGGGCCCGCGUUGGAUUAGCUAGUUGGUGGGGUAAAGGCCUACCAAGGCGACGAUCCAUAGCUGGUCUGAGAGGAUGAUCAGCCACACUGGGACUGAGACACGGCCCAGACUCCUACGGGAGGCAGCAGUGGGGAAUAUUGGACAAUGGGCGAAAGCCUGAUCCAGCAAUGCCGCGUGAGUGAUGAAGGCCUUAGGGUUGUAAAGCUCUUUUACCCGAGAUGAUAAUGACAGUAGCGGGAGAAUAAGCGCAGGCUAACUCCGUG